UGGGGAAUAUUGCACAAUGGGCGCAAGCCUGAUGCAGCCAUGCCGCGUGUGUGAAGAAGGCCUUCGGGUUGUAAAGCACUUUCAGCGGGGAGGAAGGCGUUAAGGUUAAUAACCUUGGCGAUUGACGUUACCCGCAGAAGAAGCACCGGCUAACUCCGUGCCAGCAGCCGCGGUAAUACGGAGGGUGCAAGCGUUAAUCGGAAUUACUGGGCGUAAAGCGCACGCAGGCGGUCUGUCAAGUCGGAUGUGAAAUCCCCGGGCUCAACCUGGGAACUGCAUUCGAAACUGGCAGGCUAGAGUCUUGUAGAAGGGGGUAGAAUUCCAGGUGUAGCGGUGAAAUGCGUAGAGAUCUGGAGGAAUACCGGUGGCGAAGGCGGCCCCCUGGACAAAGACUGACGCUCAGGUGCGAAAGCGUGGGGAGCAAACAGG
rnacentral:rRNA from 1 species